GCUCAGCGGAGCGCGGAACGGCGUGGGGGUGGAGCAAUCCGGGGUUGGCCGGAUCUGAAUUCGAAUUCCAGCUCUGCCAUUACCAGCAGGGUGACCUUGGGGAUGGUGGAGGAAGGAAGGUGGAGGAGUGCAGAGAGGAGAGUUGAGACAAACAAGACAACUUUGGUUUCCAGUAAACAGACUCAUCCCACAGCCAUCCACUGAACACCUACCGUGUGUACAGCACCAGACCAGGCACAGAGGCCACAGGAGAGAGGCAACUUUCAGUUUCAAGAGCCCAUGAUCAUCCCAAUCGAACAACCCUUUAAAUCUUAAACAUUCGGACUUUGCUGCAGAGGUCUGCGGAAGAGCAAGCUUUGUAUCAGUAUGAAGGAGAGUGAUCCACU